CCUACGGGAGGCAGCAGCAAGGAAUUUUCGGCAAUGGGCGCAAGCCUGACCGAGCAACGCCGCGUGGAGGACGACGGCCUUCGGGUUGUAAACUCCUUUUGGGGGGGAAGACACAGACGGUACCCCCCGAAUAAGCCCCGGCUAACUCCGUGCCAGCAGCCGCGGUAAU
rnacentral:rRNA from 1 species